CAAUUGCACUUUAGGCACAGUGCAGAUAAACUAACUUAGGAUUGGCACUUAAAGAGCUAUAGUUCCAGUGAGUGGCUUUCCUUUUCACACAUGAUUCUGUUUAUGAAAAGCAAAUCAUAAAUCAGAAGUAGUUUUAAAAAACCGGGUUCUUUUGCUUUAGUUGGGUUUACAUUAUUCUGUUUAUGUCAUUGGAUGUUAUGAAAAACAAAUCAUAAUUCAGAUAUAAAAUUAUACUAGGGUUUUGUGAGUUAUUUUAUUAUAAUAGGUUGAUCUUUUAAGUUUUCUUUUUGUGAUAACUUGAUCAUUUAAGUUAUCAAAUAUGUGCACACCGUUAACUUUUAAAAAAAAUUCCAUUUCAAAAAUAAAUAUGUAGCAUUAACGUGAAUGAAGUGUUACUAACGGUGAUGACAUAUAAUUUUAUAUUUUUUUCGUUAACUAAUUACCAAAAAGCACAUUUUUUCUUCGUUUAAUGAAAAAUUCAGAUCAAAUCCCUAGUUUUAUAUUCUUCUUCUCCAUUUAAAUCUUUCCCCCCUUCUCUAUCAACGGGUUCAUACGGUAUCAAUGAGUCAAAUCCACGAAGUCAGAACUCUCAAUCGUUCAUUUCGAAUGCAAGUCAUGGUGAAGUCGCAUCAAGAUGUCCUUGUGGAGUCAAAGCAAUGAUACGAACAGUUAGGAAGAAAGGACAAAAUUUUGGGAAGCUCUUUUGGGACUGCAGAUACUUUGUGAUGCAAUUAUUUUGAGUGGUAUAAAAAAGAAUGCAAUGAUGAAAUGCAACCAGAAAUACAAGAGUUAUAAAUCUCUAGAUGUUCAAAAUUUGAGAAAAAGGAUGUAGAAAUCAAUACACUUAGAAGGACCAUUAAGAAGAUCCAUGGAGAUGACAACUACACCAUGGAGAUGAUGAAGAAUAUGUUGAAGAUCCUAAUUUUUGUCAUAAUAUUUUUAGUUUUGAUUUUUGUAGUGUUGAUGUGUAUUUUGGUCAAGAAGGGGCGAUUAUGGUUAAUUUUUAUGUUAGUGUUGUAAGACAUGUUGUUAUUGUUAUGCAAUAAUGACUUUGUUAAUGUGGAAUUUUGUCUUUAUUCAAUGUUGAUGUUAGUGUUAUAAGACAUGUUGUUAUUGUUA